rnacentral:lncRNA from 1 species
AGUAGAAAGAGUCUUGCUACUAAGCUAAGCUGCUGUUGGGGAACUCGGUAUAAGCGAUUUUCCGCUUCCGCCUUUCUAGGCUUCACAAUAGCUCCCCCUUUUCUUUUCCAAUUCCUUCUUUUCGUUCUACUUAGGUGGAGCAAUCCGAACUCUCGACAGAAUAUAAAAGAGGACCACAGGCCUGUGUAAACACCUCAACGAACUCAUGUGGACACUCCUCAGCCCGAGGACAAUCUCUCAAAUACACAUGUUGAUGUUGUUGACCCGUUUUUCUUUUCUUUGCUGAUUCCUCUCAAUGAAAUUUUCCAUGUUGCAUGCAUAUUCUACAUUAUAGCCUGCAACUGAUUCAGCUUCCGCUU